UGGGCAAUUCUCCUGGUGAUACACGGGACAGCUACACAAAUUCAAGUGAUAGUACUUCUCCAAAACACCAAGAUUUUAGUGGGUCUUAGGGUAAGCCAGGGGCGGAUUGGAAUGCCGGGACGUCGGAUCAGUUUCCGCUUAGCCGGUCCCGACCUCCCCUUAGUAGCCUUCACUCACCCCUGUGUUGGGCCGGCUGCCGCGAACGGGCAGCAUUGAGAAACAGUUUCUGCGCCUGAGCAGAGGCUUAAACAGGCUCAGAUGUGCGGCGCUACCUCCCGUCCUUCUGCUCUCACAAGGCAGGAGGUCCCCACAGCCACGGCACUCCCUGUGUCCUGGGACCGGCUGCGGCGUCCACGGCAUGACAACGUCACGGCAGCGCAGGCUCAGUGUCUGCCUGCGCUGCAUGUAGCAAAGAAGAGGAGGGCCCCAGGAAGAGUAGUGCGGCCGGCGCCUGCCUCAGCCCUCCCACCAUACUGAACAACUGCCGCCAAAUUUCCAGGCUGCAGACAUCUGCUUUUAAACAUAAGAUAGCUGUGCUGAUCCUAGCUCCAUUCAGCUUCUCCCUGGCUGUCUCUGUCUCCUGCAGGCGCUUUCAAAAGGAACCUGCCACUAUGGAGGAACCGCCCCCAGCCACCAUGGAGGAACCGCCCCCAGCCUUCCAACUAAAGAGGUUCCUCACACACCCAUCAUGACCCAUCACCAUACACCCAGCAAGCUGAGGAGGAGGAGGAGGAUGAUGAUGAUGAUGAUGAUGAAUCAAGCUGAGGAUGAUGAUGAUGGUGAUGGUGAUGAUGAUGAUGAUGAUGAUGAUGAAGUAACAGCAGAAGGACCCUCAAUGCCUUCCCUGCUCCACAACAUCAUCCUGAACGUAUGAAAGAAGCAGCUGGGACACAGAGGGACACAAAAAUCAUCCAACAUUUUGUUGAGGGGGAUUAUGUGCCUGCUGCCCAAGGAGAAAGACCACAUCCACAGCACCUGCACCUCAACCCUCCAUGCUUGCCCAGGCUGCACCUGCUCCCGGUAUGGCUGCAGUAAGUGAGUAGUUCCACAGACUACUAAAAACUUAAACUUCAUGCAGGAACAAAGAGCCAACAUGUCCAGCGGCCUCCAUCUGUAUGAGGGUGUGGAAUAUGAGGCAUCUUCACAGGAUAUGCAAAAUAUGAUUCCCAGUUCUUCAGCUCAGAUGACACCGGCCUAGUGCAAAUGACCAUGCAGUUAAUACCUUAAUGAGUGUAGACAGAGAACGCUCCACAGGCCAAUUUUACCAUAUACUACUAUCUCGCUUACUAAGCUUAUCUUCACAGAGAUAUGACAAGCCAGCACACUACAUACAAUGGAGCCGACACCUCUGUCUAGAUGCAGUGUGCAUCCUAGGGUCGUGGUAGGGUACUGACUAAGGAUUUAGAUGACAGGAAACCUGCAAAUAUAUACCAUAGAGCAUAUUUGAUAGCCAUUGUCAAUAUCAAAAAUGG